GACGAACGCUGGCGGCGUGCCUAAUACAUGCAAGUAGAACGCUGAAGGAGGAGCUUGCUUCUCUGGAUGAGUUGCGAACGGGUGAGUAACGCGUAGGUAACCUGCAUGGUAGCGGGGGAUAACUAUUGGAAACGAUGGCUCAUACCGCAUAAGAGUAGAUGUCGCAUGACAUUUGCUUAAAAGGCGCAAUUGCAUCACUACCAGAUGGACCUGCGUUGUAUUAGCUAGUUGGUGAGGUAACGGCUCACCAAGGCGACGAUACAUAGCCGACAUGAGAGGGUGAUCGGCCACACUGGGACUGAGACACGGCCCAGACUCCUACGGGAGGCAGCAGUAGGGAAUCUUCGGCAAUGGGGGGGAACCCUGACCGAGCAAACGCCCGCGUGGAGUGAAAGAAAGGGUUUUUCGGGAUCGGUAAAAGGCUCUGUUGUAAAGAAGAAAGAAACGGAGUUUU
rnacentral:rRNA from 1 species